rnacentral:rRNA from 1 species
UACGGGGGGGGCAAGCGUUGUUCGGAAUUACUGGGCGUAAAGGGCCAGUAGGCGGCCAACUCAGUCGGAUGUGAAAUCCCCAGGCUCAACUUGGGAACUGCAUCCGAUACUGGCUGGCUUGAAUUCGGGAGAGGGAUGCAGAAUUCCAGGUGUAGCGGUGAAAUGCGUAGAUAUCUGGAGGAAUACCGGUGGCGAAGGCGGCAUCCUGGACCGACAUUGACGCUGAACGGCGAAAGCUAGGGAGCGAAACGGG